UUUAUUGUAUUGUUGUUGCUUAAGUCAAAUGAAGGGAAUGUUUUAAAGUUCAGACAAAUAGAUCUCAAAAAAAUGAAUACUAAAGUGCUGUGUUGAGAUUUUUGCAUGUAGCUUUUACUUUUACUCAUUAAAUGCUUACAUAUGUAUAGGGCACCUGCAAAAAGUCAGCACAUAUACGCAGAUUCUUAAACACGUUUUAAUAUACAUGAUUAAACUAUUACUACUAAUAUAAACAAAAGACAUGUGUACAAAAAUCAAUUGAAAAGAAUGGACGAAACUAAAAGCCAGUGAGGGCAGACGUAUUUUUCCGUGGAACUCGGAGCGAGUAGCAAGCCACGCCUUCCGCAGUGUACCCGCGACCGCGUGAAUCGGGCUACGCCACGCCAACACCUACAGGGCAGCAGCCUGGGAAAAACAAUACCUUUUGAAUAAAGAAAUACUGAGAAUAUUA
rnacentral:sRNA from 1 species